UAAGUAUGUGUCGAUGAGUUUGGGAUCAAGU
rnacentral:piRNA from 1 species